rnacentral:sRNA from 1 species
GUUUUGUCCAAAUUCUAUGUGUACUCUCACUCUCUCCUUUGCCGAACUUUAGCUCCGACUGUCGUGUGCUUUGUUUCUCUUAUCUGCCAUUCGCGUUCGUCGCGAUAACGGAAUCGGAUGAUAAAAGUGAUUAUGCCCUGUAAAGGAACCAGUGACACCGGUGGGUGCAAUGCGUGCGUGUCGCUGAACAGAGGCCAGGGGUGGGAAACAGGUGUACCUUCUGGCCCCUAAUGACAGGUGUCUAUCGGGUAUUGAUAGACACUGAAACUGCCAUCAAAACUACAAAACUACAGAGCAGAGAAUAGGGAAUGGUUUUUGGGAAAUUAGAAGGAACUGAUUAAAAGCAUUCACCACUCCGUUCUUGGAUUUGAGGAACCGAUGUUCGAAGACUAGACGAGGACUAGAUAUAUAGCCAUGUACAUAUAUUUUUAAUAGUGUUUGUAGCAAACUUUUGGUUCCAAGUGAUAGCAGAACAAUUUGAUACGAAAAGAUUCGGGAAGGCGGUGGACUGUAGAAACAAUACCAAAGAAAUGAGGAUUGCAUGAA